UACGAAGGGGGCUAGCGUUGUUCGGAUUUACUGGGCGUAAAGCGCACGUAGGCGGAUCGUUAAGUCGGGGGUGAAAUCCUGGAGCUCAACUCCAGAACUGCCUUCGAUACUGGCGAUCUUGAGUCCGGAAGGGGUGAGUGGAACUCCUAGUGUAGAGGUGGAAUUCGUAGAUAUUAGGAAGAACACCAGUGGCGAAGGCGACUUUCUGGGCUGUAACUGACGCUGAGGCGCGAAAGCGUGGGGAGCAAACAGG
rnacentral:rRNA from 1 species